rnacentral:misc_RNA from 1 species
GUAUAUGUUCUUCCUUUUAGAUCUUCUUUAUUUCUUGUCAAUUUCUUGUGUAAUUUUUCUUUUCUUUUGCUAGUCUUGACUUUUUAUUUAAUUUUGAUUUCUUUUGAGAUCUCUGUCAAUCGAUUGCCUGGGUAAUGCAAGCUUCUUGUUCUUGUUGUACUUUCUUCGCCUGUUGAUUUUUUUAGUUAUUUAUAGGCGUUUGUUUUCUCUGAUUUUGUG